UACAGAGGGUGCGAGCGUUGUCCGGAUUUAUUGGGCGUAAAGAGUUCGUAGGUGGUUCGUUAAGUCUGGUGUAAAAGACUGGGGCUCAACCCUGGGAUCGCACUGGAUACUGGCGGACUGGAGUGUGGUAGAGGCAAGCGGAAUUCCCAGUGUAGCGGUGAAAUGCGUAGAUAUUGGGAAGAACACCGGUGGCGCAAGCGGCUUGCUGGGCCAUAACUGACACUGAGGAACGAAAGCUAGGGGAGCGAAUGGG
rnacentral:rRNA from 1 species